UGGGCUAAAAUUUGGAAAAAU
rnacentral:piRNA from 1 species